GUUGGCCAAAUUUAUAUUGUUUCUAUCGUAUAUCGUUUAUAUCGCCCACCCCUAGUUCAGGUCAUAGUUUCUCUGCUCUCUGGUGCUCUGCAUUAAGGCUGACUAACAGUCUUCACAUUUCACAGUAUGUAGAUAUUAACACAAAUUAAUCAAGAGUAAUAAUUUUAUUUUAAUUAAAUAAUUUCUCUCCCCAGAAAUAAGUCUCAAAAUAAAGCCACAUUCCCAUGCUCUGAGAUUCUUACACCUCAACAAUACAUGAUUGACAAGGAAUUCUUGCGCAUAUCGACAGUACCGCUGCUAUCUACAUUCCUUUCUGAGCUAUACUUGUACACUACACAUGAUGGAGAUCUUUAGAGGUAAAGGUGAAGGGCUGGAAGAAAAAUGAGACACAUCAUGGGGACCAUCUCCAAGGAUGACAAAAUACAUACAAGACGAGCAUCCAUCCUGAAGUCCUUGUGUGACUACAAGACCACGAGAAACUUGUUAAGCAAUAUACGAACACUGAGGCCAACACUGAAGCCAUGGAACAAACUGUGAUGGGAGUGUAUGUCCUACAGCAGCAGGAUGUGGAGCCUGGAGAUGACCCAGAGAACAUCGGUGUCCUGAUUGAAGGUGUGGAGAUUUUCACUGGUUUGAGGAGCAUUGCAAUUGCUUGUGCUCUGUUAUUUGGACUGAUAUACUGUCUGAACCUAAGCUACCCACCGGAGCUCAAAUGCACUUUUGAAGUCUUGCAAAAGAUUAUCAUGAAGCUAAAUGGGCAGAGGUUUCAGAUUCAGGGAAGCCAGAUAUUUUUCCAUAUUUCUGCAAGGCAAAUUUGAGUUUACCUUUUAAAGUUCAAAAUUGUAAGUUAUAAAAUGUUCAUAAGUACUAUGUGGUUUGCUCAGUUGGCAUUAUACAAAGAUUGUUGGUUCAUAAGUUAAAGUCUCAUACACUUGCAGUGUAAACACUGAUUUGUGCAAGCUGGACAAUUGUUACAAAGGGAAAUGUACCCACAGGUUUUCACAAAUUGUUUGAGUGGAGCAGUUCUUCUCAAACUUGUUAAAUGUUUUCUCCACACGUUCAAUAGACUAAAGUUAUCAUUAAUGGAUACAGCCUGAUUAAAUGGAGCACUAAUGUAUGUA